ACCCCAUGAUAUUAAGCCGGCAGGUGCUUGCAAUCCCCACGAGCGCCUGUGACUAUGAUUGGGAACAGCAACCGCCACUGAUGUGUGUAUGUUGGGCAGCGCUUACCUCGCGCGUUCGACAAAGUAAUUUCAGACGACA